rnacentral:rRNA from 1 species
UACAGAGGGUGCGAGCGUUAAUCGGAAUUACUGGGCGUAAAGCGUGCGUAGACGGUUAUUUAAGUCGGGUGUGAAAGCCCCGGGCUCAACCUGGGAAUUGCAUUCGAGACUGAAUAGCUAGGGUACGGUAGAGGGAAGUGGAAUUUCCGGUGUAGCGGUGAAAUGCGUAGAUAUCGGAAGGAACAUCAGUGGCGAAAGCGACUUCCUGGACCCAGUACCGACGUUCAGGCACGAAGCGUGGGGAGCAAACAG